UUCUUGUGUUUAUUCCUCGCUAGUACAUGUACUCGGCGUAGAUUAAGUAGAGGCUAACCAUGUGUAUGUUUGUGUAUGCUUGUGAGGAGAGAAACCCCUAGGUUCCGACGGUGAAGAACCGAAGCCCGUGUGACGAUUAGUAAGUGUUCGGUAGAAGGACCGAACCCAAAACCUUCACUGUGUUCGCGGACGUCGCUUCGAGUUUAGUCAUGGUACGUUAAUUGAUCACGUGCUAUGGAAGACGAGUGGAAUUGAUCUCCAAGUGAUGCUGAUGGACGAAGCUAAAAUGGAUGAAUCAACCAAGUGUCAGGAUGGAAGAUGCUCACCAAGUGGUCGUCAAUUAACAACACUAACAUAGUGUUUAUCCCAGGCAAGCCCCGGUGCAUUUGCCACCUCCUUGUUGUUAUAAAACUUUUAUCACUUAUAUGUUGCAUUAGGUGAUAGGAGUUGAGUGAUGAAACAAUUGAUGCAAUGCCAUUCCUUGGAAUUUGAUUACUAUUCCUUGA